rnacentral:rRNA from 1 species
UACAGGGGUCCCAAGCGUUACUGAGAAUCACUGGGUUUAAAGGGUGCGUAGGUGGUCCGUUAAGUCAGUUGUGAAAUCCCCGGGCUCAACCCGGGAACUGCUUCUGAUACUGGCGGACUUGAGGCCAGUAGGGGUCACUAGAACUGACGGUGGAGCGGUGAAAUGCGUAGAUAUCGUCAGGAAUGCCGGUGGUGAAGACGGGUGACUGGGCUGGUUCUGACACUGAGGCACGAAAGCGUGGGGAGCGAACGGG